GACGAACGCUGGCGGCGUGCUUAAAACAUGCAAGUCGAACGGGUAUCUCAUGAAGCUUGCGAUUGAGAUAUUAGUGGCGGACGGGUGAGUAACGCGUGGGCAACCUGCCCCUAAGCCCGGGAUAACAGUCCGAAAGGAUUGCUAAGACCGGAUACUCUCGCUACGAAGCAUUUGGUAGCGAGGAAAGGAAACGCUUGGGGAUGGGCCCGCGUCCCAUUAGCUAGUUGGUGAGGUAACGGCCCACCAAGGCGACGAUGGGUAGCCGGCCUGAGAGGGUGAACGGCCACACUGGGACUGAGACACGGCCCAGACUCCUACGGGAGGCAGCAGUUGGGAAUCUUCGGCAAUGGGCGCAAGCCUGACCGAGCAACGCCGCGUGAGUGAUGAAGGUUUUCGGAUUGUAAAGCUCUGUCUUCCGGGACGAUAAUGACGGUACCGGAAGAGGAAGCCACGGCUAACUACGUG
rnacentral:rRNA from 1 species